rnacentral:sRNA from 1 species
UUGACCGGCAGCUGAUGGACACGCACCUGAAAGAACGGAGCCAGCCGGCUGCUGCCCUCUGCAGGGGCCACAGCGCUGGGCGGGGGGAUGAGCCCAGCAUCGCUGAAGGCAAACGACUCUUCUCAUUCUUCAGGAAAAUUUAAGUUGGGAGGAGUCAGGCCACCAAAGAUGGGUGGACUGGAGGCAGCUGGAAAGGCGGUGCAGGCCCCAACUCAGAGGCUCCACGGCCCGGCCAGCCCUCAGCUGCUCACAACUGAUUCAGUCUCCCUCCCUCACGUGGGGAAAGCACAGCAGGGAUGCGCGGCAAGAAUGUACCUGUAGAUGUGUACAUACCACAGUGCUGUAAUUUUGUAUGUAGCAAUCAAUCAUGUAAAUACAUGUAUGGAUUUUAUAAUAUACAUAUAUAAAAAUCUAUAAAGGCAUAUUUUUAGAAAAACAGCACACCACUGCUUCUUUUGAAAAUAGUCUGAAUAAGAAUAAAAUGAAUUUCUAC